rnacentral:lncRNA from 1 species
GUGGAUGUAUGGCUGUGACAUGGUGUUGGACAGGAACCUCCUCUGCGGGUACUGGCAGUACACCUACAACAGUCGCAAUUACAUCACCCUGAACGAUGACCUGAAAACGUGGACUUGGUGGACAUGGCAGCGUUCAUCACCCCAUGAAAGUGGGAGCAGGCUGAUGAGGCAGGGCAUUACAAAGCCUACCUGGAGAGCACCUGCGUGGAGUGGAACCACUGAUCCCUGGAGCUCCGGAAGGAGACGCUGCUGCGCACAACCCCCAAAGACAAAAGUGAAGCAUCAUCCCAGACCUGAAGGUGAUGUCACCCUGAGGUGCUGGGCCCUGGGCUUCUACCCUGCUGACAUCACCCUGACCUGGCAGUUGAAUGGGGAGGAGCUGACCCAGGACAUAGAGCUUGUGGAGACCAGACCUGCAGGGGAUGGAAACUUCCAGAAGUGGGCAGCUCUGGUAGUACCUUCUGGAGAGGAGCAGAGAUACACAUGCCAUGUGGACCAUGAGAGGCUGCCUGAGGCCCUCACCCUGAGAAGGGAACCUCCUCAGUCCAUCAUCCUCAUUAGAACCAUUGUUAGUGCUGUCCUUGGGGCUGGAAAAGAUGUGUCAGGGAGCAAUCAGGCCU